UUGUCAAUGGUUAAUUUUGGG
rnacentral:siRNA from 1 species